rfam:Chryseobacterium takakiae strain DSM 26898 genome assembly, contig: Ga0131160_101
AUACCAUGGAGACCAGAAACCAUUUAAACGGGGCGUAUCCUGAAAAGCCAUAUGAGUAAGGCUCUAA